CACUCACCCUCUGUCUCUCUCUCUCUCUCGCGGUCAUCGCCUCGCCUUCCUCCGCCGCCACUGUUUGCUAUUUGCCGCUGAAGGUCGUUGUUUGCCGUCUGCAAUUAUGUCUAGUGGUACGCCUCCUGUACUACGUGAUCGUGGACGUGGUCGCUGCCAUGCCCGGCAUUUCCAGCAACAUUCUCUGAUGCUUCUCAGGUUGGGGAAGUAGUCUUUUAACAACCUCCAUCACCUGACACGGUCAGGCCGUCAACUGCCCCAUAGACUCUAAGUGAUGCUCAACCAUCUGGCGGGCAUCAGCGGUUAAGGAGGUCGGGCAGCAGUCUGCCACACCAGAGGUUACUCCACCACCACCACUAUCACCACCAGUCCCCGCACCAUCAGCGCUCUGACAGCCGCUUCCACGAGCGCAUCAAUGCAAUGGUGCAAGGACACUUUCCCCACCUAUGGCCAUGUUUGAGGCAAGAGCCGCCAGACACCGACAUUUCUGGUUCGAGAGCAUGAAGAUGACCUACUCUGGUGGGACUGUGACAAUGAGUCCAUAUCUUGGGUCUUCGACAUGUGGGCCGAAAAGUACAUUCAGAUGACGUUCUCUAUCACCCGAUCAAGCCUUGGGAAAGCCACUUUGGCAGGCCAACAAUAUAUUGCUCCAACUCCAAGCUUACUAGGCCAGUGAGAACUUCCAGCAGGAGUCCUCAAAGAAGAAGGUGAAUCGGAUGGUGAACCCCACAGCGUCCUCGACUGUGUACCAUUUGGGAUCUUCCUCUGUCAACAUGUACAAGACGAAGUUGAUAAGAGGCAAAGUUUGGAUCUUCCUCUGUCAACUGUUUUAUUCUUUUAUAGGAGGCAAAGUUUGGUCGGCCGCCCAAGCAGAUGGAGCUAUUCGCCAAAUGCUACAAGAAGAAGGAGGACAGCGGCUGGAGCAAGUCGAGGGCAGCUUAGGUGGCAGAGAAGUUCCAAAACUUGAUGAAGGACCAUUAACCUCAGCCUACGGUCAGUGUGAAAGCGAUAAAAAAUGGCGAGUGGAUCGGCCUGGGAACGCACAAGCGGAAGCAGUAAAUAAAAAUUCAUAAAUUAGAUACCGAAUACAAUAAAAUUAUGAUUCCAAGGAGUGUACCCUUGGAGUUCCCGAGCGUUCGAUGUAGUUAAUAAAAUAAGUAAUAGAAACUAACCGGGGCUUAUGGUAAAAUUAAAAAUGAAAAGUUCAAGAAACGUAAAUCAAGAAUUACCUUUUUGCUUGAUUUACUUCGAACUUCUUUUCAUUGAUUCAUUCACGCGAGACGUCAACAUAGAAGUCAUCUAGAGACGCGUCCAUAUCACACUGGAAUAUGGAAUCCCUUAAUUCCCUUUGCUAGAAGAGAACAAAGAAGAAAAAAAAGAUCAAGUGUGUAUAGAGGGGGGCGCACCGAUUUUGGAGUGUUCUAGGGUAAGAAUUAUUUUUGUGUUGUAUUAUCUUAUUAGUUAUUCCAAAUCACUAAUAUAUAUACCUUGUAUGGAUGUACUAGAAUGUGUCUA